UGGGGAAUCUUCCGCAAUGGACGAAAGUCUGACGGAGCAACGCCGCGUGAGUGAAGAAGGUUUUCGGAUCGUAAAACUCUGUUUUCAGGGACGAAUGUGCCGAUUGUAAAUAAUGAUUGGUAAUGACGGUACCUGACAAGAAAGCCACGGCUAACUACGUGCCAGCAGCCGCGGUAAUACGUAGGUGGCAAGCGUUGUCCGGAAUUAUUGGGCGUAAAGCGCGCGCAGGUGGGAUAAUCAGUCUGAUGUGAAAGUUCGGGGCUUAACCCCGUGAAGCAUUGGAAACUAUUAUUCUUGAGUGCAGGAGAGGAAAGUGGAAUUCCUAGUGUAGCGGUGAAAUGCGUAGAUAUUAGGAGGAACACCAGUGGCGAAGGCGACUUUCUGGACUGUGUCUGACACUGAGGCGCGAAAGCCAGGGUAGUGAACGGG
rnacentral:rRNA from 1 species